rnacentral:piRNA from 1 species
UAGAAUGACAAAAAGAGGCCCCAGGUGGUAC